rnacentral:rRNA from 1 species
UACGGAGGGUGCAAACGUUGCUCGGAAUCAUUGGGCGUAAAGCGCACGUAGGCGGCUCGUUAAGUCGGAUGUGAAAGCCCUCGGCUCAACCGUGGAAGUGCAUACGAAACUGGCGAGCUUGAAUAUGGAAGAGGGUCGCGGAAUUCCCGGUGUAGAGGUGAAAUUCGUAGAUAUCGGGAGGAACACCAGUGGCGAAGGCGGCGACCUGGGCCAAUAUUGACGCUGAGGUGCGAAAGCGUGGGGAGCAAACAGG